GAUGAACGCUGGCGGCGUGCCUAAUACAUGCAAGUCGAGCGAAUGGAUUAAGAGCUUGCUCUUAUGAAGUUAGCGGCGGACGGGUGAGUAACACGUGGGUAACCUGCCCAUAAGACUGGGAUAACUCCGGGAAACCGGGGCUGAUACCGGAUAACAUUUUGAACCGCAUGGUUCGAAAUUGAAAGGCGGCUUCGGCUGUCACUUAUGGAUGUACCCGCGUCGCAUUAGCUAGUUGGUGAGGUAACGGCUCACCAAGGCAACGAUGCGUAGCCGACCUGAGAGGGUGAUCGGCCACACUGGGACUGAGACACGGCCCAGACUCCUACGGGAGGCAGCAGUAGGGAAUCUUCCGCAAUGGACGAAAGUCUGACGGAGCAAAGCCGCGUGAGUGAUGAAGGCUUUCGGGUCGUAAAACUCUGUUGUUAGGGAAGAACAAGUGCUAGUUGAAUAAGCUGGCACCUUGACGGUACCUAACCAGAAAGCCACGGCUAACUACGUGCCAGCAGCCGCAGUAA
rnacentral:rRNA from 1 species